rnacentral:sRNA from 1 species
UCGCCAUCUUGGAUCCGCGGGACAAGAAAAUUCAUGCGAGGGAGACGUGGUGGGCGGUCCUUCCUGUGACACGACCCUUGAGUGACAGUUCUAUUUGAUUGCCUCCGGUACUGUGAGGAAAGGACACGACUCUAUGGUGAGGACUGAUGGACAUACAUUAUCUGAGAAAAGAAACUACCAGCCUCCAGCUCUGAGCUUUCCAAUCCCCAGAGUAGCAAAUGUUGAAAGAAGUUGCACAGGGAGAAGAUGGGUGUAGUUCAACCCUUUCAUAUCAUCCAUCCAUCCAUUCCUACUAGUUCUGCCUCAGAGUAUAUCCUUUAUUCAGCUACUACUCACCACCUUAUUAGGCCAUCAUUACCUAUCACUGGCCUCCUAAUGCAUUUUCCUGCUUUUGUUUUAUACCCUCUUUAGCCCAUUCCUCAUGGAGUAGCUAGGACCUUUUU